rnacentral:rRNA from 1 species
AUAACGACUCUCGGCAACGGAUAUCUCGGCUCUCGCAUCGAUGAAGAACGCAGCGAAAUGCGAUACCUGGUGUGAAUUGCAGAAUCCCGUGAAUCAUCGAGUCUUUGAACGCAAGUUGCGCCCGAGGCCASUSGGCCGAGGGCACGCCUGCCUGGGCGUCACG